AACAUUCUAGUAGCUUAACUCAUUAAAGC
rnacentral:tRNA from 2 species